rnacentral:misc_RNA from 1 species
CCGAGUUCAUGCCCUCACGGGUAGAUCUCCCACCCUAUGUUAUUAUUACCUCUGUUGCUUUGGCGGGCCGUCAGGCUUCGGUCAGGCUACCGGCUCCGGCUGGUAUGCGCCCGCCAGAGGACCCAAAACUCUUGUAUUAUGAUGUCUGAGUACCAUAUAAUAUUUA